GCUGCACGCUCACGACAACACCGGGCUGGUGGUGUGCUGAUUAUGCCCCUGCCCUUUGUGCGUGUAUGU
rnacentral:misc_RNA from 1 species